UUACGGCCAUAUCGCCUUGAAACACUGGUUCUAGUGCUAUCACCGGAGUUAAGAUAGGUCGAGCCUGGACAGUACUUAGAUGGGUGACCACUUGGAAAUAACCGGUGCUGUAAG